CCCCCUCUAAUUUUUCUAAUUUUUUUUUCUUUAUUUGAAUUUUUGGGACUUAUAUUGAAUUUUAAUGUGUCUCACAACCUGAAGGGAUUGGGAGGGAGGGUCAUUUCAUUUUUGGAUAUAGAACGAAUAGGUUCAGGAGAUGAGAGAAUUAAGGAUACGCACCAGAAAGACUAUCCAAUGCAUAAUGAUGUGCCAAAAAAUAGAACAUUUUUGUUACCCAACCAACCUUUAGGAGAAGCAAAUGCGACACGUAGACUAAUAGUAAAAUUAAAGAAGUAGCAUUUAAUGUAAAAAUAGCCAAUAGGAAAGCAAUAGUCAUGUUUCUAAUCCUCCAAUCUACCAACAAAAGAAUUAUACCAUUUGAUCCCUUUAUCAACCAAAAAAUUGUACACCUUAUGUACUACUUUGGGUAACCCUCUCAACAACUAAGAGAUCCAUUCGCUGAACAAGGCGACUAGUUGAAGUACGGAUCCUCCCAAUAUUGGGAGUAUCCGUACUUCAAUUGAGCUGAUGACAAAUCAUUUCACCAUUUUAGUUGGAACUUUAGGUGGUUCUCAAAAAAAGAUAGCGAAAAAAAUUAUUCCUAAAGUUUAGACUAAAAGGAAUGUAUAAACCAAUGCUUCCAUAUAUUCGAUCGUGGUUUACAAUUAUAUCUUCCAUACCUGUUUAUUUGGGAUCGUCUCCCAGGUAAAUAAAGAACAAGAGUAAAAGAAAAGGCAGUGAUUCAAAUCUAGAUUUAUCUGGUACCCUAUCUAAAAAUCACAAGAAGAAAAUAAAAAAGAAAAGUAACAAGUAACAAAACAUAUUGUAUCAGACUACUUGUCUUCUUGUAGUUGGAUCUCCAAGCUUUUGGAAUGCUCCGAAUUCCAGUUGAGCAUCUAAAUCUGGAUCAAUACCAGCAAAAACAUCUCGAAACAAGGUUCUAGCUCCAUGCCAAAUGGAUUUAGUUUUUGUCCCAUAAUCCCCCACUACUAUAUAUAUCGUGCAACGUGACAUUUGUCUGUAUAUAUUUUUUUAUUCAUUCGAUUUUUUUUUAAGCAUAACAUAAUAUAGCGUAUUUGUAUAAUUUAUAAUAUAAAAUAUUCUUCCUUUAAGCAUUCCUUAGCUCUGAUUUAUUGAAUUUCCUUUUAUCUAUUUCUUCAUCUUCAUCGAAAGAUAUAUCUUUCAAUGUUUAUGUUAUUUUAUAGGUUAAUAGGUUAUUUAUCAUUGUCAUAUUCCCCAAAGUUUAUGUUUUGGACUGUUUAAAUUGUUCUAGUUAACGUAGCUAUGAUCCUAUCAGUUUUGGCUCAUUAUGUAUGGAUUCGAAAGGAACAACGAGAUUUACAAAAGUAAAUGAGCACAUGGGGAUUUGGAAAAGUAUUUACGUCUAAAUAGAUAAAAUAUAGAUUUAAGAGCUUUAGGAAAAUUUGAUAUUUGUUGUUUGUAACAUACUUCGUCCAUCCCAAAGUUACCGAGCACCGGUCAACUCUGUACCUUCAAGGACCCACUGAAGAUUUGAUGUGGAGGCACUCUUGCCAAAGCACACGAGUUCCUCUCCAAUAAAAAGACCAAUCACAAAACGACACAUGUCAACAUCAGAAUAAAGCUCCUAGAUUCCCAGAUCAAUUGUGGACAGGACCCGAAAACUUUCCGCAUCUUUAAAAGGAGAUUGUUCUCUUGCAAUUAAUUUCUAAUGUCUUUAUUGUACUUAAACUCGUCAUUAGAACUCACUAAUGAUGAUUAUGCUUAAACCUAUGUAUUGUGUAAACUCUUCACUAUUAAUAAGAACUCAUAUACCCUCAUGGACGUAACCUAUCUUAGGUUGAACCACAUACAUCUUGUGUUUGCUUCCCUACCUCUAUCUUUUUACAUAUUAUCCUCACCAGGUGACCAGACCAACCUUGCGAAGGUCACAACCUUGUCACUUAACGUUGUUCCAAAGUCUAACUGAUUUUGCGUAUCAACAUUUGACACCGUUUGUGGGAACGACACUAAUUCCUACUCUCACCAGCUUUGUCAGACUGGUUUCUCUUUGAUAAGGCAUCGCUCUCCAACAUGGGGAGUGAAGGAAAACACAGCAUGCAGAAAAACACCCCUUGCAUGCCUAGUGUGAGGCCGCGAAUGAGGGAAAGGAACAAGCCUGUUCUUCAAACUAAAGUCCAAGAGGUUAGAACUCAAAAUAAAAUAGAAAAAAUGGCGAUACGGAAUGAUAUCCUCCAACAGCAGUAUGUGAAGCUCUUCGAGAUGUUUUACGAGGCUAUACAGACUCAGUCUCAAGAGUCAUUGCCCUCUUGACAGCGGAUCAACACAUAGGUACCUACGCGAAGUUUCACAUGUCUUCAACACGGGGAUUCUUAAUAAGGACUGGCCUUCUACCCAAGAUAUUGAUCAACACGAGACUUCUCUUAACCCAGCUGCUUCAAAUUGAAACAAGAUAAGUGGAAGAGGACAUCUCCUUGCAAAGGAUUGGAAUGAUCAAAACCUGGUUAUCGCGACUGUCAAGACCUCUUGAGGCAUCGUCGAGAAAAACCUAUCCAUAUAGACUCAAGGAUCAUUGACCCAAAGGUCAUCGAAGGAAUCAGUCCGUUACCAUAACCAAGGUCAACUACUAACCUAAGGAAGAAACGACAAGACUUAGAUGGACAAGAAGGUGUUUGAGUCUCGAGGAACUUCCAACCGGAAUUUCCUUGAAGCAAGUAUGGUAAUCCAAAAAAAAGUCACAUACUCUUGACUAAACUUCUCCACUUCCAAGAAAUGAUGGAAACUUACGAAUGAGGGUUCCAAUAGUCCCUGACUCCAUUCAAGACCCCAUUAUCCUGCAGUUUUUUGAGGAAGUGAACAGACUAAAGGCCAAACGCCAUGCCAAGGUACCUGACUGGAAUUAGCCGAAGCCAGGCCCUCUGACAAGAAGGAUCUUUGGCACCCCUCUACAAGGAGAAACAAAAUAGACGAUUGGUUUACUAUCAUAAAUUUUGGGGGGGGGGGGGGGGGGAAGAUCCAAUUGAGCAUAUCCAUCUCUUUGAAUCCACCAUGGUAUACCGAGGCAUAGUAAUGAAGAACGAUGUCUCAUUUUUCCCUUCAUUCUAUCUGUGGGAGCUCUCAAUUAGUAUUGUUGUCUUCAACCUGAUACAAUAGAUUAUUUCACCAAGCUUAAGAGACUUUUUGUGGUGCAACGCAUCUUCUAGGCUGAUUGCUUACACUCCGCUAAACAUUUAUACACCAUUCGUCAGAAGUCAAACUAGUCAUUAUGUGAAUAUGCCCGUAGCUUCAGCCACAAGUAUUCUCUUGCGUUGUGGUAGAUUAUAAAACAACAAUAAGUGUCAACAUACACUUUUUCCAUUCGACAUGUGUUACAAUGUGCCUCGACAACUCGUCAUUAUUCUCACCCACUUGGUUAUGAAGGAACUCAUAUUCGUAUCACUAACCAAGUGAUAAUUUUUUCCUUUGGCAACUUACCACCCUUUCCACCAACUAGGUAAUGAAAGAACUCACCUUUGUCCACUAACUAGGUGAUGGAAAGUACAACCAGUACUCCACUCUUUUCACUAACCGGGUAAUAAAGGAACUCACCUUGUAUCACCUUGCAGUAUGAAGCGUUAUUAAGAUCUCCUUCAACUGUGCCAGAAUGUCAAACAUUGUAGUAUAUACAAGGAGACCGAAGACUCUCAUCAACUAUAAAAGGAGAUCGUUCUCGUACAAUUAAUUCCUAAUAUCAUUAUUGUGCUUAAACUCGUCAUUAGGACUCACUAAUGAUGAUUAUGCUUAAACUUAUGUCUUGUGUAAAAUCUUCAUUAUUAAUGAAGACUCUUCUACCCUCGUGGACGUAACCCAAUUCAAGGUGAACCACAUACAUCUUGUGUUGCUUUCCUACCUCUAUCUAUUUAAUUAUGAUCCUCAACAGGUGACCGGAGCAACCUUGUGAAGGUUACAAACUUGGCACUUUACGUUGUUCGAAUGUCUCACUGAUUUUGUGCAUCAACAUUUGUAAAUAAUUUGCUACAAGCAAUUGAGCCUGCGCGAUUUGUUUUAAAACUGUGUUAAACAGGUGGAAUAUAUUAAAAUCCAUUAGAAUCCUUCUGCUUAACAAAGAAUAAAAAAAAUAGAUGUUUGUAGUAUAUAGCAAAAGUUUUAAAACUCAUUAAUUCUUCUUUCUACGUAAAUUUGACAAAUACGUACAAUCCAAUCUUCAACCAAUUCAAGCGUAUACUUUUUCUUUUGUUGUAUCAAAUUUGUCAUGUCACCCAAGGUCAAAUGGAAAGCCAGCUAACUGAAAACAUUUGUGUUAAGUUGUGCAAAAAGUUGAGUACGCUUUAAUUGAAAACAUAACCACUAAUACAAUUAGGCAAGAAGGGGAAGGAGAUAAUCAUGAGGAGCUAGAAAUAUUUUGACUUCAACAAGAAGAUAUUGACAAGGUUUUACAUACGUACUAGCAAGCUCCAAGUUGUGGUAUCAACUCCAAAAACAAAAAUCGUACUUGGGCAACAUCCAAAAAAACAUGAGUAAAGAAUUUUUGAAGUCUUUUUUCUUCAAUGACUCGGGAAAUAUAAGACGGCUCCUUCGGUAAUCCUCAUCAAUAAGAGACUUGGGGGACUCCCAUUAUAUGCUAAUACACUUUAGUACUCAAACGUUUCAUGAGUACUCACCAAUUUGGGUUCUACAAGUCCCCAACCGAGAAACUUUCCUCACUCGUGAACUUGGGGGACCACUGUUUGUUCCAUACUUCACCACCCCCAAAACUACUUAGCACCAAUCAACUUCAUACUUUCAAGGACCCACUAAAGAGUUCAUGUGGAGGCACCCUGGGCGAAGCACACGAGUUUUUCUCCAAUCAAGAGACCAAUCACAACACGACACGUGUCAACCUAAAAAUAUAACUCCUAAAGUCCCACAUCAACCAGGGACGGGAGCCAAAGACCCUCAUCAACUAUACAAGGAGACCGUUCUUGUACAAUUAAUUCCUAAUGUCAUUAUUGUGAUUAAACUCGUCAUUAGAACUCACUAAUGAUGAUUAUGCUUAAACUUAUGUCUUGUGUAAAAUCUUCACUAUUAAUGAGGACUCCUCUACCCUCGUGGAUGUAGCCAAAGUUAAGUUGAACCACGUACAUCUUGUGUUGCUUCCCUACCUCUAUCUCUUUACAUAUUAUCCUUACUAGGUGAUGCAGCAAACUUGAGAUGGUUACAAACUUCACACUUUACGUCGUUCCAAAGUCUCAAUGAUUUUGUGCAUCAACUUUUGUAAAUAGUUUCUUACAAGCAAUUGAGCCCGCGCGAUGCCACGAGUUUUAAAACUAUGUUAAACAGGUGGAAUAUAUUAAAAUCUAUUAGCAUCCUUAUGUUCAACAAAGAAUAAAAAAAUAGACGUUUGUAAUAAAUAGCAAAAGUUUUGAAACUCUUUAGUAAUUCUAAGUAAAUUUGACAAAUACGUACAAUCCAAUCUUUGACCAAUUCAAGCGUAUACUUUUUUUUUGCUUCAAUCAAAUUUGUCAUGUCACCCAAGGUCAUAUGCAAAGUCAGCUAACUGAAAACAUUUGGGUUAAGUUGUGCAGAAAGUUGAGUACGCUUUAAUUGAAAAAAAAAUCACUAAUACAAUUAGGCAAGAAGGAGAAGGAGAUAAUCUUGAGGAGCUAGAAAUAUUUUGACUUCAACAAGAAGAUAUUGACAAGGUUUUACAUAUGUACCCGUAAGCUCCAAGUUGUGGUAUCAACUCCGAAAAAAAAAAAUGGUCCCGAAUAACAGUAUAGAAAUGUUUUAGUCCAUCUUAAACUUUUUUUUUUGUGGCCUUGCUUAUUAUUGUACUUAUUAACAAUUACUACUAUGUCGAGGCGAGUUUCUUUACAACAGGACCAAGAAAAAUAAUAACUUAUUACAAUGUGGUAUUUAUUCCUGAACCCCAACUGGGACCGAAACUGUUUAUGACUAUAAAUAAGUUAUUCCUUUAUAUAGAGAUGUUUUACUGUAGCAUUCACAUGUCUUAUUAUUGAAUUAUUGAAUCUCAAAGAAUACUUACAUUAUUGAAAGGAAAUACAAAUGCAAAAGGAAUUGAAAUACAAAUACAUAAAAAGGAAAAUUAUCCACUUAAAUGUGUUUAUAAUCAACAAUAAAUUUCUUUUAAUUUCUUCAAUUCUUCUUAAGCAAAUUUUUGAACCAAUGUGCUGAGAGUUUUGGGUGUCUUUUCAGCCCAUCAUUAUAAUCCACGUAGUUUUAAACCAAAUCGGACGGUGUAUCCAGAAUUCCAUUCAAAGUCGUCCAACAAUGUCCAUGGAAAGUAUCCCUUCACUUUCGCACCAUUUCUGCACACACACACAUACACCAAUGUUCAAAUGGAUUAGGUCAAUAUAAUGAUUAAAUAACAAUAACUUAAGAAGGCUAGGCAGUAUAUAACCUUAAUUAAUUUGUUAAUAACUACUUACUUGAUCGCCGCUUGAAGGUAACAUAGGUGACGGUAGUGGUAGUCAAUUCUACCGGUAUCAAAGAAGAGCCUCUUCAAUUGAUAGUUCUGGAUUAUUCAACUCUGAUACACCUACGUACAUAUAUUAUUGCACAAAAAAUUAAAAUUAAGUUUUUUCCUCUAAAAAUAUAAAAAAAACAUGCAGUUCCAGUUUAACGCCAUUAUAAAUAUGUGAAACUUUUGCAAUUAAUCAAGGCUUAAAAGUACGAAUUACAUACCAUUCUCAGUAAUAUAAAUGAGUGGAUCAUUAUAUUUUUCCUUUGUGUAGAGCACAAGAUCGUGAAUUCCUUUUGGAUAUACAUAUAACCAAUCUAAAGCAGUCUGCAACACCAUUUCAAGAUAAUACGUAAAUGUUGGGGAAAAAAGCUAAUCCUCCAAAUGCAAAUAGCUCAAAAUGAUAAAUUUGAUGUAUACCUGUGGACCAAUAAGUACUACUCCAUUAAGCUCAGCUGCCACAAUAUUUACAAACAUUAGAAUACAAUUGGUGUAAAUAUUAGAAUAUAAUUAAUGUAAUUAAGAGGUUAAACUAGGUCAAGAAGAAACGAGAACUGAAGCUAUUCAAAGUAAGUUUCCUUUGGCACUCACUUGUAAGAUCAGCUUGAGGAUCUGUUACGAAGCUUGCCUGUAGUGAAUUGUUCUUAGGUGUACUAGUUGCGUAUCUAGCAGUAUAAUAAUUUAUUCCAAGAAAAUCAAAUGAUGAUCCGUUUAGCAACUUGGAUUGUUCUUUUGUGAAUUUUGGCAAUCUUUUUCCAACAAUUGAUCGCAUGCUGUGUGGAUAGUCACCACUUGUUAAAGGGUCCAAAAACCUACAAAACAAGAAAAUUCCAAAUAUUAGCCUAAUUAUAGCAUUAUAGAUAAAUAGUACUGCUAGCUAGUAGUAGUAAUGUAGUAUCAAAGUAUAAGUCAUAAGUAUACAUGAUGUAAUUGGGUUUAUGUAUAAUUUAAUAAGACACUUGCCAUCCAAACAUAAAAUCCAAAGAUCGUAAGGCAGCAUCUUUAUCUUGCUUUGACUCCGAAGCAGGCUCAAACCAGUAUGACACCAAUGUUAUCCCUAUCAAGCCUUUCUGAGAUGCCUACACAAAAAUAUGAAUUUUGGUUGAAUAAAUAGGAGUUAUAGAAAAAGAUACAACCUUUAGAUUAUCUUACUACUGAGAGUAUUCCCUCUUGUAUUACAACUCAAUAAUAAAGAUUCAUAUAGAAUUCUCGAUUAGGAGCCAAUAAUCUAACCCCAAAAAAAAAAUAAAAAAAAAUAAAAAAACAGUUAUUGAACCUGAUAUCUAUUCUUGUACAAUUCUACAGCUGCUCCAUGAGCAAGAAGAAUGUGGUGUGUCACCAAGUAUGGUUCAAUGGCUGAAUCUCCACCGGUGCAGUUUAGGUUUUGCCAAGAAGAGCAGCGUCCCGGUGCUAGAGUCCCAACAGCAUAACCCAUGCUACUAAAAGUAUAUGGCUCAUUUACCGUGAACCAGUGCUUGACACGAUCACCAAAUUCCUUAUAACAAAGUUCUGCAUAGUCUUUAAAAUGAUCGCUGCAGAUACAAAUUUAUGUUAAGUAUAUCAGUACGUAUUUUAUCAAAUUAUCAACGAGAAAAUAAAUUUUGUUCACUUACACAAUACGAGGGCUUAAGAAACCACCAUAUUCAUCUUCUAAAGCUUGGGGAACAUCCCAAUGAAAGAGUGUUACAAACGGCUUUAAACCUAUAAUACAUGAUCAGUAAAAUCAAAUUAAAAGUCUGAUUGAAUGAUGUUCUAAAAAUUCAUGUAAUAAUUGUUUAAGGUAGGAUAAUUAACCAUUGCGUAGGAGUUCAUUGAUGAGAUUGUUGUAAUAAUCAAUUCCUUUCCUGUUAACGCCACCACUUAACGUUCCAUCUAAUUAGAACAAAAAUAACAAGAAAAAAAAGGGUUACCCAGUAGAUAACUCGAUCACAUUACUUUAGUUUAAAUAGUAUAUAAAAGAGAAUAAUUUUUCUUGUAGGAAAAAUAAUUCUUAUGCACAAUAUUGUCAUUGGUCCCAACCAAAAAUGAGGACGUCGAGCAACUUACUUGGUAAUAAUCUGGACCAUGAAAUAGAUAAUCUGUAAGCAUCCAAAUUCAUAUCCUUCAUAAUCCCCACAUCUUCCUAGAAUGACAAAAGUUUAAAAUUAAAUAUUGAGGAUCUCAUUAUAUAUUGUUCUUUUUUUUUUUUUUUUUUUGUAAAGGCUCCAAUUUAUAAUGUUAACAUGUGCCCUUCAAGUAUAAAGGGUCGAGAGACAAAGUUAUGAGGUUUUAGACCUUAUAGCGGUGAUAUUGAUCUAUAGCGACAUCUCCGUUACUGCCAUCAUCGAUUUUUUCUGCAAUUAUUAAAAAACAUAAUGGUGAAAUCCAUAUCAUGUGCAAAGUACUUUAUAUGCGUGCGCACUGAUGAAGUAUAUACAUAUAUUGUACAUAUCACAUGACCACGUACUGUUGGUCUCCCAACAAAGUGCAUGGCUGUUAGAGAGGUUGGAGUUUACUUGUCCUCACGAAGAAAAGAAUGAGGUGCUAUUUCUACUCCUUUGAAAUGAAGUAGCAAAAGUUUUCAUAUUACCAAUUGAUUAAAUCACAGACCUGGAUGUUUGUGGGUGAAGGUAUCCCAUAUGCUUGGUCCUCUUCCAUCUUCUUUUACUGCACCUUCAUACUGAAAUACACACACAUGCAUAUACGUAAGAGUACUACUACACACGCAAGGAAGAUGACAACAUUAUAAUUCAUGCAUGGAUGCUAGCUGCAUGUAUAAAAUACACCAAAAAUGUGGUAAAUAAAGACAGAAGAUAUAUAUAUACUGACCUGGUAAGAUGCAGAACCUGUGCCAAAUAUGAACCCUGGUUCAAAACUGCUGCGAUUGAGAAAUUCGCAAUGAACAGGUGGAUCUGUAUUAGUUGCUUUGCCAUUUGUCAAUGCAAAGCCAAUGAGUAGCAGCACACCAAAGAGCAAAGAUCGUGAAUAUUUCAUUGCCAUAACUUGGGAGUUUUGAUAUCGAUCGAGAUAAUUAAGUUAUCUCCUCCGGGAAUAUUGCAUGGGGUUUAUAUAGAGAAAGGGAGGAAAGGGAUAUGGUGUCUACGUACUAGCUCAUGAGAAUAAUAAAGGGUUAAAAUUUGUAAACAAAAUUGGCUUUGAAAGUCCUAGUUUAAAGACCAAGUCAAGGUAUAUUUCAAAAAAAAACAAAAGACCAAGUCAUGGUGUGUAGUUUAAAAGAAAGCACGUUUCAUGUACCCAAAAGUUGCGUAUUACGUACGUUAAAAAGAAUGGAUGAUCCUUGCGUUCCACCUAUGAGGAAUGAACAUAUUCUACAAAUUUUAUAUUGUGAUCGUUUCAGUUUCUUAAUCUUUAUUUCAAAAUCAUCAAAACAAAAACAAUUAUUUGAAUCUGAGAUCGUUUAGUCAUUUAAAUAUAUGAACCCAAUUGACAGUGUCGACACUAAGUAAAAGAUUUUAUAACGAACUAUUCAUUUUUAUUGAUACAUUUGGAUGACUAAAACAGUCUUCAAUUUGGAAUAGUUUUUUGUAUAUAUGAUAUUCAAAUUAAGAUUAAGAAAUUAAUAACUGAUACUACAAAAAUACACUUUAUUUAUUAAAAAAAAAUAUUCCUUGAGUUGAAAAGUAAGAUAAUGUACACAACAGUUCGAUCGAUCUCAUCUUAAUUUGAAAUGAUCAAUCCUUGAGUUACCCUUGAGUUUUCCAGCAAAAGAAAAUGUUUUUCUGUAUUCGGAAACAAAGAGUCAUUUAUCUGCAUGUUUAUAUUAUGUCUGUCCAACUGUUGAAGGGCAUAACUUUUGAAGUUGAAUAUGGACGAUUAGCUACAGAGACUUAUUCAAACUAUAGAAAACUAUUUGACACCAAACAAAAAAGUAGAAAUUUAUGACCAGAAUUCUUUACGUAAGUACAUAAUCGAUAAAGAUGAAGAAUUUAAUCUUGAUCUUUUACUUCUUGUUAGAGUUUUAAUGUUGAAUCCGUGAACCCAGUGGUUUUGUGAAAUUGUUUUUCCACGCAAAUUAAGAAGGCAUCGAAAUAGCUAGGUUCUCAAAUUGGCUAUUUCGCUCCUAAAGAUUGUGAAAGGAUACCAUUGGGGUGGCUUCUUCUUGGUAGUACAAGAAAUUGAUUAGCUGUUUCAAGAAAACAGGUUUUUUAUUAGCUUACAUCUAUUUAUUUUGAUUUAAUAUUUUUUUACAAUUCAAAAACACAAAAAUUUUGACCCCCCCUCUAAUUUUUCUAAUUUUUUUCUUUAUUUGAAUUUUUGGGACUUAUAUUGAAUUUUAAUGUGUAUCACAACCUGAAGGGAUUGGGAGGGAGGGUCAUUUCAUUUUUGGAUAUAGAACGAAUAGGUUCAGGAGAUGAGAGAAUUAAGGAUACGCACCAGAAAGACUAAUCCAAUGCAUAAUGAUGUGCCGAAAAAUAGAACAUUUUUGUUACCCCGACCAACCCUUAGGAGAAGCAAAUGCGACACGUAGACUAAUCAGUAAAAUUAAAGAAGUAGCAUUUAAUGCAAAAAUAGCCAAUAGGAAAGCAAUAGUCAUGUUUCUAAUCCUCCAAUCUACCAACAAAAGAAUUAUACCAUUUGAUCCCUUUAUCAACCAAAAAAUUGUACGCCUUAUAUACUGCUUUUGGGUAACCCUUCUCAACAACUAAGAGAUCCAUUCGCUGAACAAGGGGACUAGUUGAAGUACGGAUCCUCCCAAUAUUGGGAGGAUCCGUACUUCAAUUGAGCUAAUGACAAAUCAUUUCACCAUUUUAGUUGGAACUUUAGGCGGUUCUCGAAAAAAGAUAGCGAAAAAAAAUUAUUCCUAAGAGUUUGAGACUAAAAGGAAUGUAUAAACCAAUGCUUCCAUAGAUUCGAUCGUGGUUUACAAUUAUAGCUUCCAUACCUGUUUAUUUGGGAUCGUCUCCCGGAUAAAUAAAGAACAAGAGUCAAAGAAAAGGCAGUGAUUCAAAUCUAGAUUUAUCUGGUACCCCCCAUCUAAAAAUCACAAAAAGAAAAUAAAAAAGAAAAGUAACAAGUAACAAAACAUAUUGUAUCAGACUACUUGUCUUCUUGUAGUUGGAUCUCCAAGCUUUUGGAAUGCUCCGAAUUCCAGUUGAGCAUCUAAAUCUGGAUCAAUACCAGCAAAAAACAUCUCGAAACAAGGUUCUAGCUCCAUGCCAAAUGGAUUUAUUUUUUGUCCCAUAAUCCCCCACUACUAUAUAUAUCGUGCAACGUGACAUCUGUCUGUAUGUUUUUUUUAUUCAUUCGAUUUUUUUUUAAGCAUAACAUAAUAUAGCGUAUUUGUAUAAUUUAUAAUAUAAAAUAUUCUUCCUUUAAGCAUUCCUUAGCUCUGAUUUAUUGAAUUUCCUUUUAUCUAUUUCUUCAUCUUCAUCGAAACAUAUAUCUUUCAAUGCAAUAGUUAUAUGACAAGUAGAUCUUUUUGUAGGAUAACCCCAUCCUCGAGCCAGGGGCUUUCAUUUUUUCACAGUUGCGUGUUACAGAUAACACCAGCCACAAGGACCACUCUUGUGUUAUAACUAAUAUAAGAUAAAAUUAGGUAAUGCAAUAAAAUUAAAGAAGGGAGCGACGUUGAAUUAAGAAAAAUGAUUGAAGAAUUGUUAUUUUAUAGGUUAAUAGGUUAUUUAUCAUUGUCAUAUUCCCCAAAGUUUAUGUUUUGGACUGUUUAAAAUGUUCUAGUUAACGUAGCAAUGAUCCUGUCAGUUUUGGCUCAUUAUGUAUGGAUUCGAAGGGAACAACGAGACUUACAAAAGUAAAUGAGCACAUGGGGAUUUGGCAAAGUAAUCACGUCUAAAUAGACAAAAUAUAGAUUUAAGAGCUUUAGGAAAAUUGGAUAUUUGUUGUUUGUACCAUACUUCGUCACUCCCGAAACUACCGAGCACCGGUCAACUAUGUACCUUCAAGGAUCCACUAAAGAGUUAACGUGGAGACACCCUUGCCAAAGCACACGAGUUCCUCUCCAAUCAAGAGACCAAUAAAAAAACGACACAUGUCAACGUCAGAAUAAAGCUCCUAGAGACCCAGAUCAAUUGUGGACAGGAUCCGAAAACUUUCCUCAUCUAUAAAAGGAGACCGUUCUCCUGCAAUUAAUCUGUAAUGUCAUUAUUGUACUUAAACUCGUCAUUAGAACUCACUAAUGAUGAUUAUGCUUAAACCUAUGUAUUGUGUAAACUCUUCACUAUUAAUAAGAACUCAUAUACCCGCAUGGACGUAACCUAACUUAGGUUGAACCACGUACAUCUUGUGUUUGCUUCCCUACCUCUAUCUUUUUACAUAUUAUCCUCACAAGGUGACCAAAGCAACCUUGCGAAGGUCAUAAACUUGUCACUUAACGUUGUUCCAAAGUCUAACUGAUUUUGCGUAUCAACAUUUGGCACCGUUUGUGGGAACGACACUGAUUCCUACUCUUACCAGCUUUGUCAGACUGGUUUCUAUUUGAUAAAGCGUCGUUCUCCAACAUGGGGAGUGAAGGAAGGCACAACAUGCAGAAAAACACCAUUUGCAUGCCUAGUGUGAGGCAGCGAAUGAGGGAAAGGAACAAGCCUGUUCUUCAAACUAAAGUCCAAGAGGUUAGAACUCAGAAUAAAAGAAAAUGGUGAUAUGGAAUGAGAUCCUCCAAGAACAGUAUGUGAAGCUCUUCGAGAUGCUUCACAAAGCUAUACCGACUCAAUCUCAAGAGUCAUUGCCUUCAUGACAGCGGAUCAACACAUAGGUACCCACGCAAAGUUUCACAUGUCUUCUUAAUAAGGAAUGGCCUUCUACCCAAGAUAUUGAUCAACACGAGACUUCUCUCAACCCAGCUGCUUCAAACCAAAACAAGAUAAUUGGAAGACGACAUCUCCUUGCAACAGGAUUGGAAUGAUCAAAAGCUGGUUAUCGCGACUGUCAAGACCUCUUGAGGCAUCGUAAAAAAAAACCUAUCCAUAUAGACUCAAGGAUCAUUGACCCCAAUGGUCAUCGAAUGAAUCAAUCCCUUACCAUAACCAAGGUCAACUACUAACCUAAGGAAGAAACGACAAGACUUAGAGGGACAAGAAGGUGUUUGGGUCUCGAGGAACUUCUAACCGGAAUUUCCUUGAAGCCAAUAUGGUGAAUCCAAAAAAAAGUCACAUACUCUUGACCAAACUUCUCCACUUCCAAGAAAUGAUGGAAACUUACGAAGCAGGGUUCCAGUAGUGCCUGACUCCACUUAGGACCCCCUUAUCCUACAGUUUUUUGAGGAAGUGAACAGACUAAAGGCCAAACGCCAUGCCAAGGUACCUAACUUGACGAGGCCAGGCCCUCUGACAAGAAGGAUCUUUGGCACCCCUCUAAAAGGAGAAACAAAACAGAAGAUUGGUUUGCUAUCGUAAAUUGGGAGGGAAGAUCCAAAUGAGCAUAUCCAUCUCUUUGAAUCCACCAUGGUAUACCGAGGCAUAGUAAUGAAGAACGAUGUCUCAUUUUCCCCUUCAUUCUAUCUGUGGGAGCUCUCAAUUAGUAUUGUCGUCUUCAACCUGAUAUAAUAGAUUCUUUCACUAAUCUUAAGAGACUUUUUGUGGUGCAACGCAUCUUCUAGGCUGAUUGCUUACACUCCGCCAAACAUUUAUACACCAUUCUUCAGAAGUCAAACUAGUCAUUGUGUGAAUAUGCCCGUAGCUUCAGCCACGAGCAUUCUUUUUGAACUGUGGUAGAUUAUAAACAACACUCAGGGCCUUCAGAAUAGGUGUCAACAUACACUUUUUCCCUUCAGCAUGUGUUACAAUGUGCCUCGACAACUCGUCAUUAUUCUCACCCACUUGGUUAUGAAGCAACUCAACUUCGUAUCACCAACCAGGUGAUAAUUUUUUCCUUUGGCAACUUACCACCCUUUCCACCAACUAGGUAAUGAAGGAACUUACCUUUGUCCACUAACUAAAUGAUGAAAAGUACAACCAGUGCUCCACUCUUUUCAGUAACCAAGUAAUGAAGGAACUCACCUUAUAUCACCAUGCAGUAUGAAUCGUUAUUAACAUCUCUUUCAACUGUACCAGAAGGUCAAACAUUGUAGUACAUACAAGGAGACCGAAGACUCUCAUCAACUAUAAAAGGAGACCGUUCUCGUACAAUUAAUUCCUAAUAUCAUUAUUGCGCUUAAACUCGUCAUUAGGACUCACUAAUGAUGAUUAUGCUUAAACUUAGGUCUUGUGUAAAAUCUUCACUAUUAAUGAGGACUCCUCUACCCUCGUGGACGUAACCCAAUUUAAGGUGAACCACAUACAUCUUGUGUUGCUUUCCUACCUCUAUCUCUUUAAUUAUGAUCCUCAACAGGUAACCGGAGCAACCUCGCGAAGGUUACAAACUUGACACUUUACGUUGUUCCAAUGUCUCACUGAUUUUGUGCAUCAACAUUUGUAAAUAAUUUGCUACAAGCAAUUGAGCCCGUGCGAUUUGUUUUAAAACUGUGUUAAAUAGGUGGAAUAUAUUAAAAUCUAUUAGCAUCCUUCUGUUCAACAAAGAAUAAAAAAAAUUGACGUUUGUAAUAUAUAGCAUAAGUUUUGAAACUCUUUAAUUCUUCUAAGUAAAUUUGACAAAUACGUACAAUCCAAUCUUCGACCAAUUCAAGCGUAUGCUUUUUCUUUUCUUCAAUCAAAUUUGUCAUGUCACCCAAGGUCGUAUGCAAAGUUAGCUAAUUGAAAACAUUUGCGUUAAGUUGUGCAGAAAGUUAAGUACGCUUUAAUUGAAAAAAAAAUCACUAAUACAAUUAGGCAAGAAGGAGAAGGAGAUAAUCGUGAGGAGCUAGAAAUAUUUUGACUUCAACAAGAAGAUAUUGACAAGGUUUUACAUACGUGCCCGUAAGCUCCAAGUUGUGGUAUCAACUCCGAAAAAAAAAAAUGGUCCCGAAUAACAGUAUAGAAAUGUUUUAGUCCAUCUUAAACUUUUUUUUUUGUGACCUUGCUUAUUAUUGUACUUAUUAACAAUUACUACUAUGUCGAGGCGAGUUUCUUUACAACAGGACCAAGAAAAAUAAUAACUUAUUACAAUGUGGUAUUUAUUCCUGAACCCCAACUGGGACCGAAACUGUUUAUGACUAUAAAUAAGUUAUUCCUUUAUAUAGAGAUGUUUUACUUUAGCAUUCACAUGUCUUAUUAUUGAAUUAUUGAAUCUCAAAGAAUACUUACAUUAUUGAAAGGAAAUACAAAUGCAAAAGGAAUUGAAAUACAAAUACAUAAAAAGGAAAAUUAUCCACUUAAAUGUUUAUAAUCAACAAUAAAUUUCUUUUAAUUUCUUCAAUUCUUCUUAAGCAAAUUUUUGAACCAAUGUGCUGAGAGUUUUGGGUGUCUUUUCAGCCCAUCAUUAUAAUCCACGUAGUUUAAACCAAAUCGGACGGUGUAUCCAGAAUUCCAUUCAAAGUCGUCCAACAAUGUCCAUGGAAAGUAUCCCUUCACUUUCGCACCAUUUCUGCACACACAUACACCAAUGUUCAAAUGGAUUAGGUCAAUAUAAUGAUUAAAUAACAAUAACUUAAGAAGGCUAGGCAGUAUAUAACCUUAAUUAAUUUGUUAAUAACUACUUACUUGAUCGCCGCUUGAAGGUAACAUAGGUGACGGUAGUGGUAGUCAAUUCUACCGGUAUCAAGAAGAGCCUCUUCAAUUGAUAGUUCUGGAUUAUUCAACUCUGAUACACCUACGUACAUAUUAUUGCACAAAAAAUUAAAUUUAGUUUUUUCCUCUAAAAAUAUAAAAAAAACAUGCAGUUCCAGUUUACGCCAUUAUAAAUAUGUGAAACUUUUGCAAUUAAUCAAGGCUUAAAAGUACGUAUUACAUACCAUUCUCAGUAAUAUAAAUGAGUGGAUCAUUAUAUUUUUCCUUUGUGUAGAGCACAAGAUCGUGAAUUCCUUUUGGAUAUACAUAUAACCAAUCUAAAGCAGUCUGCAACACCAUUUCAAGAUAAUACGUAAAUGUUGGGGAAAAAAGCUAAUCCUCCAAAUGCAAAUAGCUCAAAAUGAUAAAUUUGAUGUAUACCUGUGGACCAAUAAGUACUCCAUUAAGCUCAGCUGCCACAAUAUUUACAAACAUUAGAAUACAAUUGGUGUAAAUAUUAGAAUAUAAUUAAUGUAAUUAAGAGGUUAAACUAGGUCAAGAAGAACAAAGAACUGAAGCUAUUCAAAGUAAGUUUCCUUUGGCACUCACUUGUAAGAUCAGCUUGAGGAUCUGUUACGAAGCUUGCCUGUAGUGAAUUGUUCUUAGGUGUACUAGUUGCGUAUCUAGCAGUAUAAUAAUUUAUUCCAAGAAAAUCAAAUGAUCCGUUUAGCAACUUGGAUUGUUCUUUUGUGAAUUUUGGCAAUCUUUUUCCAACAAUUGAUCGCAUGCUGUGUGGAUAGUCACCACUUGUUAAAGGGUCCAAAAACCUACAAAACAAGAAAAUUCCAAAUAUUAGCCUAAUUAUAGCAUUAUAGAUAAAUAGUACUGCUAGCUAGGUAGUAUCAAUGUUACAAGUCAUAAGUAUACAUGAUGUAAUUGGGUUUAUGUAUAAUUUAAUAAGACACUUGCCAUCCAAACAUAAAAUCCAAAGAUCGUAAGGCAGCAUCUUUAUCUUGCUUUGACUCCGAAGCAGGCUCAAACCAGUAUGACACCAAUGUUAUCCCUAUCAAGCCUUUCUGAGAUGCCUACACAAAAAUAUGAAUUUUGGUUGAAUAAAUAGGAGUUAUAGAAAAAGAUACAACCUUUAGAUUAUCUUACUACUGAGAGUAUUCCCUCUUGUAUUACAACUCAAUAAUAAAGAUUCAUAUAGAAUUCUCGAUUAGGAGCCAAUAAUCUAACCCAAAAAACAAAAUAAAAAAAAAUAAAAAAACAGUUAUUGAACCUGAUAUCUAUUCUUGUACAAUUCUACAGCUGCUCCAUGAGCAAGAAGAAUGUGGUGUGUCACCAAGUAUGGUUCAAUGGCUGAAUCUCCACCGGUGCAGUUUAGGUUUUGCCAAGAAGAGCAGCGUCCCGGUGCUAGAGUCCCAACAGCAUAACCCAUGCUACUAAAAGUAUAUGGCUCAUUUACCGUGAACCAGUGCUUGACUCGAUCACCAAAUUCCUUAUAACAAAGUUCUGCAUAGUCUUUAAAAUGAUCGCUGCAGAUACAAAUUUAUGUUAAGUAUAUCAGUACGUAUUUUAUCAAAUUAUCAACGAGAAAAUAAAUUUUGUUCACUUACACAAUACGAGGGCUUAAGAAACCACCAUAUUCAUCUUCUAAAGCUUGGGGAACAUCCCAAUGAAAGAGUGUUACAAACGGCUUUAAACCUAUAAUACAUGAUCAGUAAAAUCAAAUUAAAAGUCUGAUUGAAUGAUGUUCUAAAAAUUCAUGUAAUAAUUGUUUAAGGUAGGAUAAUUAACCAUUGCGUAGGAGUUCAUUGAUGAGAUUGUUGUAAUAAUCAAUUCCUUUCCUGUUAACGCCACCACUUAACGUUCCAUCUAAUUAGAACAAAAAUAACAAGAAAAAAAAGGGUUACCCAGUAGAUAACUCGAUCACAUUACUUUAGUUAAUAGUAUAUAAAGAGAAUAAUUUUCUUGUAGGAAAAAUAAUUCUUAUGCACAAUAUUGUCAUUGGUCCCAACCAAAAAUGAGGACGUCGAGCAACUUACUUGGUAAUAAUCUGGACCAUGAAAUAGAUAAUCUGUAAGCAUCCAAAUUCAUAUCCUUCAUAAUCCCCACAUCUUCCUAGAAUGACAAAAGUUUAAAAUUAAAUAUUGAGGAUCUCAUUAUAUAUUGUUCUUUUUUUUUUUUUUUUUUUGUAAAGGCUCCAAUUUAUAAUGUUAACAUGUGCCCUUCAAGUAUAAAGGGUCGAGAGACAAAGUUAUGAGGUUUUAGACCUUAUAGCGGUGAUAUUGAUCUAUAGCGACAUCUCCGUUACUGCCAUCAUCGAUUUUUUCUGCAAUUAUUAUUAAAAAACAUAAUGGUGAAAUCCAUAUCAUGUGCAAAGUACUUUAUAUGCGUGCGCACUGAUGAUGAAGUAUAUACAUAUAUUGUACAUAUCACAUGACCACGUACUGUUGGUCUCCCAACAAAGUGCAUGGCUGUUAGAGAGGUUGGAGUUUACUUGUCCUCACGAAGAAAAGAAUGAGGUGCUAUUUCUACUCCUUUGAAAUGAAGUAGCAAAAGUUUUCAUAUUACCAAUUGAUUAAAUCACAGACCUGGAUGUUUGUGGGUGAAGGUAUCCCAUAUGCUUGGUCCUCUUCCAUCUUCUUUUACUGCACCUUCAUACUGAAAUACACACACAUGCAUAUACGUAAGAGUACUACUACACACGCAAGGAAGAUGACAACAUUAUAAUUCAUGCAUGGAUGCUAGCUGCAUGUAUAAAAUACACCAAAAAUGUGGUAAAUAAAGACAGAAGAUAUAUAUAUACUGACCUGGUAAGAUGCAGAACCUGUGCCAAAUAUGAACCCUGGUUCAAAACUGCUGCGAUUGAGAAAUUCGCAAUGAACAGGUGGAUCUGUAUUAGUUGCUUUGCCAUUUGUCAAUGCAAAGCCAAUGAGUAGCAGCACACCAAAGAGCAAAGAUCGUGAAUAUUUCAUUGCCAUAACUUGGGAGUUUUGAUAUCGAUCGAGAUAAUUAAGUUAUCUCCUCCGGGAAUAUUGCAUGGGGUUUAUAUAGAGAAAGGGAGGAAGGGAUAUGGUGUCUACGUACUAGCUCAUGAGAAUAAUAAAGGGUUAAAAUUUGUAAACAAAAUUGGCUUUGAAAGUCCUAGUUUAAAGACCAAGUCAAGGUAUAUUUCAAAAAAAAACAAAAGACCAAGUCAUGGUGUGUAGUUUAAAAGAAAGCACGUUUCAUGCACCCAAAAGUUGCGUAUAUACGUACGUAAAACAAUGGAUGAUCCUUGCGUUCUACCUAUGAGGAAUGCACAUAUUCUACAAAUUUUAUAUUGUGAUCGUUCAGUUUCUUAAUCUUUAUUUCAAAAUCAUCUAAACAAAAAGAAUUAUUUGAAUCUGAGAUAGUUUAGUCAUUUAAAUAUAUGAACCCAAUCGACAGUGUUGAUACUAAGUAAAAGACUUAUAUUGAACUAUUCAUUUUAUUGAUAUAUUUGGAUCACUAAACAGUCUUCAAUUUGAAUAGUUUUUUGUAUAUAUGAUAUUCAAAUUAAGAUUAAAAAAUUAAUAACUCAUUCAAACAGUAGAAAACUAUUUGACUCGCAAAAAAGUAGAAAAUUUUGACCAGAAUUCUUUAUGUAAGUACAUAACCGAUAAAGAUGAAGAAUUUAAUCUUGAUCUUUUUCUUCUUGUUAGAGUUUUAGUAUUGAAUCGGUAAACCCAGUGGUUUUGUGAAAUUGUCCUUCCACUCUGAUUAAGAAGGCAUCGAGAUAGCUAGGUUCUCAAGUUGGCUAUUUUGCUCCUAAAGAUUGUGAAAGGAUUCCAUUGGGGUGGCUUUUUCGAAGGUUUGGACACCCUUCAAAGUAUAGUGGUUACACAUUCUUCUUGCUAGUACAAGAAUGAGAAUAGUAAAGGGUUAAAAUUUGUAAACAAAAUUGGCUUUGAAAGUCCUAGUUUAAAGUCCAAGUCAUGGUCUGUAAUUUAAAAGAAAGCACGUUUCAUGUACCCAAAAGUUGUUUACGUACGUAAAAGAAUGGAUAAUACUUGCGUUCCACCUAUGAGGAAUGCACAUAUUCUACAAAUUUUAUAUUGUGAUCGUUCAGUUUCAUAAUCUUUCCUUGCAGAUCAUCUAAACAAAAACAAUUAUAUGAAUAUGAGAUCGUUUAAUCAUUUAAAUAUAUGAACCCAAUCGACAGUGUAGACACUAAGUAAAAGAUUUAUAGCGAACUAUUCAUUUUAUUGAUACAUUUGGAUGACUAAACGGUCUUUAAUUUGAGUAGUUUUUUGUAUAUAUGAUAUUCAAAUUAAGAUUAAGAAAUUAAUAACUUAUACUACAAAAAUACAUUAUUUAUAAAAAAAAAAUAUUCCUUGAGUUGAAAAGUAAGAUAAUGUACACAACAAUUCGAUCGAUCUCAUCUUAAUUUGAAAUGAUCAAUCCUUGAGUUACCCUUGAGUUUUCCAGCAAAAGAAAAUGUUUUCUGUAUUCGGAAACAAAGAGUCAUUUAUCUGCAUGUUUAUAUUAUGUCUGUCCAACUGUUGAAGGGCAUAACUUUUGAAGUUGAAUAUGGACGAUUAGCUACAGAGACUUAUUCAAACUACAGAAAACUAUUUGACCCAACAAAAAAAGUAGAAAUUUAUGACCGUAAUUCUUUACGUAAGUACAUAAUCGAUAAAGAUGAAGAUUUUAAUCUUGAUCUUUUACUUCUUGAUAGAGCUUUAAUAUUGAAUCCGUGAACCCAAUGGUUUUGUGAAAUUGUUUUUCCACGCUAAUUAAGAAGGCAUCGAAAUAGCUAGGUUCUCAAAUUGGCUAUUUCGCUCCUAAAGAUUGUGAAAGGAUACCAUUAGGGUGGCUUCUUCUUGGUAGUACAAGAAAUUGAUUAGCUGUUUCAAGAGACUGGUUUUUUAUUAGCUUACAUCUAUUUAUUUUGAUUUAAUAUUUUUUUACAAUUCAAAAACACAAAAUUUUGACCCCCCUCUAAUUUUUCUAAUUUUUUUCUUUAUUUGAAUUUUCGGGACUUAUAUUGAAUUUUAAUGUGUGUCUCACAACCUGAAGGGAUUGGGAGGGAGGAUCAUUUCAUUUUUGGAUAUAGAACGAAUAGGUUCAGGAGAUGAGAGAAUUAAGGAUACCCACCAGAAACACUAAUCCAAUGCAUAAUGAUGUGCCGAAAAAUGGAACAUUUUUGUUACCCCACCAACCCUCAGGAGAAGCAAAU
rnacentral:lncRNA from 1 species